rnacentral:rRNA from 1 species
GAACUGGGUUGUAUAGCAACAGGGAUUGCCCCAGUAACGGCGAGUGAAGCGGCAGCAGCUCAAAUUUGAAAUCUGGCCCCUGGGGCCCGAGUUGUAGUUUGCAGAGGAUGCUCUGGGCGCGGCGCCUUCCGAGUUCCCUGGAACGGGACGCCACAGAGGGUGAGAGCCCCGUCUGGUCGGACGCCAAAGCCCGUGUAGAGCUCCUUCGACGAGUCGAGUAGUUUGGGAAUGCUGCUCAAAGCGGGAGGUAUAUGUCUUCUAAAGCUAAAUACCGGCCAGAGACCGAUAGCGCACAAGUAGAGUGAUCGAAAGAUGAAAAGCACUUUGGAAAGAGGGUUAAAGAGCACGUGAAAUUGUUGAAAGGGAAGCGCCCGUGACCAGACCUGGGCCCGGCGAAUCACCUGGCGUUCUCGCCGGCGCACUUCACCGGGCACAGGCCAGCAUCAGCUCGACGCGGGGGACAAAGGCGGCGGGAACGUGGCUCCCCAGGGAGUGUUAUAGCCCGCCGCGCAAUGCCCCGCGCCGGACUGAGGUACGCGCACCGCAAGGAUGCUGGCGUAAUGGUCAUCGGCGACCCGUCUUGAAACACGGACCAAGGAGUCGUCUUCGUAUGCGAGUGUUGGGGUGCCAAACCCCCGCGCGGAAUGAAAGUGAACGCAGGUGAGAGCUCCGGCGCAUCACCGACCGAUCCUGAUGUUCUCGGAUGGAUUUGAGUAGGAGCAUACGGGGCCGGACCCGAAAGAAGGUGAACUAUGCCUGUGUAGGGUGAAGCCAGAGGAAACUCUGGUGGAGGCUCGCAGCGGUUCUGACGUGCGAAUCGAUCGUCAAACAUGGGCAUGGGGGCGAAAGACUAAUCGAACCUUCUAGUAGCUGGUUUCCGCCGAAGUUUCCCUCAGGAUAGCAGUGUCGUGAUCAGUUUUAUGAGGUAAAGCGAAUGAUUAGGGACUCGGGGGCGCUAUAUUGCCUUCAUCCAUUCUCAAACUUUAAAUAUGUAAGAAGCCCUUGUUGCUUGACUGAACGCGGGCAUUCGAAUGUAUCGACACUAGUGGGCCAUUUUUGGUAAGCAGAACUGGCGAUGCGGGAUGAACCGAACGCGAGGUUAAGGUGCCGGAGUGGACGCUCAUCAGACACCACAAAAGGUGUUAGUACAUCUUGACAGCAGGACGGUGGCCAUGGAAGUCGGAAACCGCUAAGGACUGUGUAACAACUCACCUGCCGAAUGUACUAGCCCUGAAAAUGGAUGGCGCUCAAGCGUCCCACCCAUACCUCGCCCUCGGGGUAGGAACGACGCCCCGAGGAGUAGGCGGACGUGGAGGUCAGUGACG